rnacentral:rRNA from 1 species
GGGAUCGAAGAUGAUUAGAUACCAUCGUAGUCUUCACCAUAAACUAUGCCGACUCGGGAUUGGCAGUCGUUUCUUUUAAUGACUCUGCCAGCACCGUAUGAGAAAUCAAAGUCUUUGGGUUCCGGGGGGAGUAUGGUCGCAAGACUGAAACUUAAAGGAAUUGACGGAAGGGCACACCAGGAGUGGAGCCUGCGGCUUAAUUUGACUCAACACGGGGAAACUUACCAGGUCCAGACAAAGUAAGGAUUGACAGAUUGAGAGCUCUUUCUUGAUUCUUUGGGUGGUGGUGCAUGGCCGUUCUUAGUUGGUGGAGUGAUUUGUCUGGUUAAUUCCGUUAACGAACGAGACCACCGCCUACUAAAUAGUACAAAUUUUCGCGAGAAAGUUUGAGACUUCUUAGAGGGACAUUUCGGGUUUACCGGAAGGAAGUUCGAG